rnacentral:rRNA from 1 species
UACGUAGGGCGCAAGCGUUAUCCGGAAUUAUUGGGCGUAAAGAGCUCGUAGGCGGUUUGUCGCGUCUGCUGUGAAAACUCAGGGCUUAACCCUGAGCUUGCAGUGGGUACGGGCAGACUAGAGUGCGGUAGGGGAGACUGGAAUUCCUGGUGUAGCGGUGAAAUGCGCAGAUAUCAGGAGGAACACCGAUGGCGAAGGCAGGUCUUCUGGGCCGAUACUGACG